AGAAUAAAAGCCAGUACCAUUAAUAAAUAUGCCCUCAAUAAUCAGGUGGAUUAGUUCAAAUGUCUGUAACUCUGCUGAGACCUCUGCAGAGGUUUUGGAGUGGAUGGUGCUUUGUUUUGGGACUGGUUUCAUUUGUUCAAAUGAACCAGCUGUUGGUUGCUUUUCAAGAAAUGCUUUGAAAUUCACAGUAAGCCAUUUUUCACUACCUGUAGAAGGUGAGAAGCAAUGAUGGAACCAGGCAGUAUGUACUGAAGCGGACAAAGGAAGAAAAAGUUAGUUCACUUCUUGUUUCUGACACUUCCUUGUAAGCAUUCUCCCCAUGAAUUCUCAGUGCUGUGAUCAGUAGCGAUGGAUU